CCAUGUAGACGGGCGUGAUGCAGGGAACGAAGUGUGUUUAUUCGGAGACAAGGCCCUGCUUAAAUAAGGGCCGAUACAAAACAUGACAUGCGCACUAGGAGCAUCAAGUGCGCACGUGUACAUGAUAAUGCGAGAAUGCGCAUGGUUACAGCUAGAACUUUGUACUAUUCGAGUUCUGCUUUCUGUCAUGCAUGAAGCGCAUAAGUGCUUGUACACCUAUGGAUGUUUUAAAAACUAGUGUAUGUUUUCAACAUACACAAGUAUGUUUUCAUGCAUACUCAUAUACUUAAGUUCAUUAACAAAGCACCCUCCCGUAUACAUGAGUAUUGCUUUCAUCUGUGCUGGUAAUGAAAAGACAGCUGUAACUUGUGUCAUGCUUGACGUGCAUUCUGAGGCACUGCAUGGAACUGGGAGAUAGUGGGAGAACCUUGGUAUGUGCUGAAAUAUGCACGGGUUUGGAUGUCUGUGUGCGGAAUGAGUUCAUUAGUGCCUCAUUCUCGGAGCCAAAACUGCUGGGGUGGCAUUCAGCCACUACUGCUUCAGUGCUUGAAGUGUUAAGCUUCCUGCUCCAGAAUAAUUGUUGUUUCUGCAACAUCUUCUUGUUUGGAGGUUUGUCAAUGAAGAAACGUGAGCUGCCGCAAGCAGGUUAAGUGUGCAAGAAAGUGAGUUCUGCCAGAUUUUAUUACCGCAAUGUGGCCAAUCAAUUGACGAAGGAGCAUUGCUUGGCAAGUCGCGUUUCAGGCAGACAAUCAUCCAUCACUGUCCGGAAACACUGCUUUGUAAUUGUUGUGAAGUUUAGGCCCUAAAGUUGACUUUGACCUUUUGCUGUUGGUGAGAGGUGGGGAGUGCAUUUUUGCUGACGACCAUCUUUUUUUCUGGCUUGCAUCUCCUAGUUGUGUGGUAGGACAAGCUUAAUCUGCCUGUAAGGAAAAAAAAAAAAAAACAACAACAAAAAAAGCUGGAACUUCUGGCUGCAUUGCUAUAUGUGCAACCCCUGUGUGCAUUGUGGGAUCAAGCUUUUGUGUGUACCCGCUUGUAGUUCUUAUUAGCCAGAGAUUUACUCUUAAGUGCAAGUCAUAAGUUAAAGGUAUGCUCAGCAGCUGUAAAACUCUGCUUGUCUGUCCUUGCAAAUUGUAACCAUGUAUGACAUGUAACAGUACUAGAGACAUGUACAGUAACUGUAUGUGACAGUGGCCAUAGAAACUUGAAGUUUGUUUGCUCAAGCUAAAUCUCAAAGACAUACCAAGAAUAUUAAUCCAGUGCAGUGAAGUUUAUGUGGAAACAGGAAAAAAAUGUAUUGUAAUACGUUGCACUAUUUCUGCAUUUAAAUUACUGUAAAAAAAGUAUUACAUAUCCAUUAUUUCAGAAAUAUGCAACAAAAUUUACAAUGUUGGUGUUCAGAUCUAUUUCUUAAUUUUGUUUUGUUUGCGUUGGUGCAGUUGCUAGGCAAGCAUAUGCAUCUUUGACUGUUAUGCAGUCUUUUGUGUGUUCAGC
rnacentral:lncRNA from 1 species